GAUGAACGCUGGCGGCGUGCCUAAUACAUGCGAGUCGAGCGAAUGGAUUAAGAGCUUGCUCUUAUGAAGUUAGCGGCGGACGGGUGAGUAACACGUGGGUAACCUGCCCAUAAGACUGGGAUAACUCCGGGAAACCGGGGCUAAUACCGGAUAACAUUUUGCACCGCAUGGUUCGAAAUUGAAAGGCGGCUUCGGCUGUCACUCCUGGAUGGACCCGCGUCGCAUUAGCUAGUUGGUGAGGUAACGGGUCACCAAGGCAACGAUGCGUAGCCGACCUGAGAGGGUGAUCGGCCACACUGGGACUGAGACACGGCCCAGACUCCUACGGGAGGCAGCAGUAGGGAAUCUUCCGCAAUGGACGAAAGUCUGACGGGGCAACGCCGCGUGAGUGAUGAAGGCUUUCGGGUCGUAAAACUCUGUUGUUAGGGAAGAACAAGUGCUAGUUGAAUAAGCUGGCACCUUGACGGUACCUAACCAGAAAGCCACGGCUAACUACGUGCCAGCCGCCGCCGUAA
rnacentral:rRNA from 1 species